rnacentral:misc_RNA from 1 species
UCUCCGUAGGUGAACCUGCGGAGGGAUCACUACAGGCUUGCAAGAGCUCUGAAACCACUGUUUAUCUACCUGAAUCUGCUUCGGCGGGCGGCCCCAGGGCGGGGCCGUAGCCGCAAGGCGCCCGCCGAAGACCCCUAAGCUCUGUCGUCUUGAGAAUCUCUGAGUAUCAUAUUAAACAGAAAACAACUUUCAACAACGGAUCUCUUGGCUCUG